rnacentral:rRNA from 1 species
AACGAACGCUGGCGGCAGGCUUAACACAUGCAAGUCGAACGCCCCGCAAGGGGAGUGGCAGACGGGUGAGUAACGCGUGGGAAUCUACCCAUCUCUGCGGAAUAGCUCUGGGAAACUGGAAUUAAUACCGCAUACGCCCUACGGGGGAAAGAUCUAUCGGGGAUGGAUGAGCCCGCGUUGGAUUAGCUAGUUGGUGGGGUAAAGGCCUACCAAGGCGACGAUCCAUAGCUGGUCUGAGAGGAUGAUCAGCCACAUUGGGACUGAGACACGGCCCAAACUCCUACGGGAGGCAGCAGUGGGGAAUAUUGGACAAUGGGCGCAAGCCUGAUCCAGCCAUGCCGCGUGAGUGAUGAAGGCCUUAGGGUUGUAAAGCUCUUUCACCGAUGAAGAUAAUGACGGUAGUCGGAGAAGAAGCCCCGGCUAACUUCGUGCCAGCAGCCGCGGUAA